UACGUAGGGUGCAAGCGUUGUCCGGAAUCAUUGGGCGUAAAGAGCGUGUAGGCGGUUCGGUAAGUCGGCUGUGAAAGUCCAGGGCUCAACCCUGGGAUGCCGGUCGAUACUGCCGGACUAGAGUUCGGAAGAGGCGAGUGGAAUUCCCGGUGUAGCGGUGAAAUGCGCAGAUAUCGGGAGGAACACCAAUGGCGAAGGCAGCUCGCUGGGACGUUACUGACGCUGAGACGCGAAAGCGUGGGGAGCAAACAGG
rnacentral:rRNA from 1 species